UACGGGGGGGGCAAGCGUUGUUCGGAAUUACUGGGCGUAAAGGGCUCGUAGGCGGCCAACUAAGUCGGAUGUGAAAUCCCCAGGCUCAACCUGGGAACUGCAUCCGAUACUGGAUGGCUUGAAUUCGGGAGAGGGAUGCAGAAUUCCCAGUGUAGCGGUGAAAUGCGUAGAUAUUGGGAGGAACACCAGUGGCGAAGGCGGCUCACUGGACCGGUACUGACGCUGAUGCGCGAAAGCGUGGGGAGCAAACGGG
rnacentral:rRNA from 1 species